ensembl:lincRNA
CUGAGCCAGUAGGAGUAGCAGAAAGAGGGAGCUGACUGGACAUGUGAGAGUGGGAACACUGAGGUUCAUGCUAAGAGUAUGGCCAUGAGUAUGGCCCAGAGUAUGGCCAUGGCAAAGACAAAGGAGAUUUAAGAUAUGGCAUUCCUAGGGUAAAGCAAGCUCAGGGUAUGGUGAGAUUGCAAAUGAACCCACUGAUCUGUUAUUUCAUCUCAGCAACAUAAGUGGAGCUGAUUCGGCAUUUUCUGUCUGUGUGGUCUCUUAAAGAAGCAGCCUCGGGGAACUGGAGAAAACAAAGGAUACAUAUUACCUCAUAAGAAGAAUGCUGUGGAAAAAAAGGAAAGAUGAGAAUGUUACAAUCAACGCAUGGAAAUAUUUAAGCAAAAUUAAAACUUACACCACACAAGGAAUAGUACCGGGAAUCGAAUAUUAAGGGCCUCAGGAUGGAAACAUGACUGCUACAACAAAUUACUACAACUUCGGCGGCUUAAAAAAACAGAAAAUUAUCCUUUCACAACUGUGUAUGCCAGAAGACUGAAGCCUGAAAUUAGCAUCAUUGGACCUCAAUCAACCAAAGUGUCAGCAGGGAUGUGCCCUCUCCAGAGGCUCUGGAGGAGAAUUUGUUCCUUACUUCUUCCAGCUCCUGGAGGCUGCCCCCAUUCCUUAUUUUGUGGCCACUUCACUUCAAUCUCUGCCUCCUUUCACAUUGCCUUUUCUUCUGUGUAUGUCAAAUGUCCCUCUGCUUCUCUUUUAUAAAGACACAUGUGAUGACAUUUUGGGCCUGUCUAGAUAAUUCAGGAUAAUCUCACCAUCUUAAAAUCAUUAAUUUAAUCACACCUACAAAGAACAUUUUUUUUUUUUUUUAAAUAAGGUAACAAUUACAAGUUCCAGGGAAUGGGAACUGAUAUAUUUAGGGGUGAUUAUCAGUCCAUUACAGAAGACAAGACAUAGAUCAGACAGUAUAGCCCGUGUGCAUAGCAGUGAAUAGCCUAUUUCCUAUUUUCUCAGUAAUGAAAUAGCUUUGCACUGGGCAUUCUUUGUGUUUACCACAACUAUGAUUAAUAUUUCUUACAAAGUAUCUGUCUAAUAGAGUUUUAAAAUUGAUGUGAGUUUGCCUGUUUUCCACAACUACAAUCUUAUGAUAGUAUGAAUUGAUAUGCCUAGAGUGAGCACAAAGGCAGUUAUAAUUUAUGACUUGUUUCCUUAAAAAUCUUGUCUUCACACAUGAUAUAAAGUAAAUCAAAACAAAUAACCAUAAUUUGGAAUUUUAUAUUUGAAUGUCAGACUAUAACUACUGCAUUUAUUUUAUAUAGACAUAUUUCCAUCAUGUUUAAUUUAUUGGAGCCUACUUAUCAGAGAAAUAGUAAUAUACCUUUAAGUUUUGUUGACUGGGAAUUUUUAGAUUUGCAUUGUGUCUCAUCCUCAUCUAAUGGAAAACCUUGGUUUUUAUAGGUUAAAUAGAAGUCUGGUAAGUGUGGUGGACUAGCCAAGAUCAAAUAAAUAGAUAGAUGUCAAGCCUCAAUGCCCAGGGCACUAUCAUUUUCACUAUUCUAGUUUUCCUCUCCC